rnacentral:lncRNA from 10 species
UAAAACUGAGGCUCAGAACAGCUGGUAGUUUGUGAAGCUAAGACUUGAAAUCCCACGUCUGGGAUGGGUUCUUACUGAAACAGACACCUCCAGUCCUGCUGCUGUGCCUGACAUUUGCUGCUUCUCUACCUGGGAUAAGGCACUGGAGUUAGAAGCAUGGAGUCCACGGAUGAGAAGAGUAAGUUUCAGAAAUCCCUUUCAGGACCCCAUCGUCCUUCCAAGAUGGAGCUGCUUAGAUCUCCUCCCUAUCCUUGCUGUACAUGCCCAAGAUUUUGUGAACAUGAUGUGUGCGAUUUCAAGAGCAGGAUCUGGAGCUUCCUUCUGGUAUCUAGACUCAUGAUAGAUGCUCAAUACAUGUUG